rnacentral:rRNA from 1 species
AGAGUUUGAUCCUGGCUCAGGAUGAACGCCGGCGGUGUGCCUAAUACAUGCAAGUCGUACGCACUGGCCCAACUGAUUGAUGGUGCUUGCACCUGAUUGACGUUGGAUCACCAGUGAGUGGCGGACGGGUGAGUAACACGUAGGUAACCUGCCCCGGAGCGGGGGAUAACAUUUGGAAACAGAUGCUAAUACCGCAUAACAACAAAAGCCACAUGGCUUUUGUUUGAAAGAUGGCUUUGGCUAUCACUCUGGGAUGGACCUGCGGUGCAUUAGCUAGUUGGUAAGGUAACGGCUUACCAAGGCGAUGAUGCAUAGCCGAGUUGAGAGACUGAUCGGCCACAAUGGAACUGAGACACGGUCCAUACUCCUACGGGAGGCAGCAGUAGGGAAUCUUCCACAAUGGGCGCAAGCCUGAUGGAGCAACACCGCGUGAGUGAAGAAGGGUUUCGGCUCGUAAAGCUCUGUUGUUGGAGAAGAACGUGCGUGAGAGUAACUGUUCACGCAGUGACGGUAUCCAACCAGAAAGUCACGGCUAACUACGUGCCAGCAGCCGCGGUAAUACGUAGGUGGCAAGCGUUAUCCGGAUUUAUUGGGCGUAAAGCGAGCGCAGGCGGUUGCUUAGGUCUGAUGUGAAAGCCUUCGGCUUAACCGAAGAAGUGCAUCGGAAACCGGGCGACUUGAGUGCAGAAGAGGACAGUGGAACUCCAUGUGUAGCGGUGGAAUGCGUAGAUAUAUGGAAGAACACCAGUGGCGAAGGCGGCUGUCUGGUCUGCAACUGACGCUGAGGCUCGAAAGCAUGGGUAGCGAACAGGAUUAGAUACCCUGGUAGUCCAUGCCGUAAACGAUGAGUGCUAGGUGUUGGAGGGUUUCCGCCCUUCAGUGCCGGAGCUAACGCAUUAAGCACUCCGCCUGGGGAGUACGACCGCAAGGUUGAAACUCAAAGGAAUUGACGGGGGCCCGCACAAGCGGUGGAGCAUGUGGUUUAAUUCGAAGCUACGCGAAGAACCUUACCAGGUCUUGACAUCUUGCGCUAACCUUAGAGAUAAGGCGUUCCCUUCGGGGACGCAAUGACAGGUGGUGCAUGGUCGUCGUCAGCUCGUGUCGUGAGAUGUUGGGUUAAGUCCCGCAACGAGCGCAACCCUUGUCAUUAGUUGCCAUCAUUAAGUUGGGCACUCUAAUGAGACUGCCGGUGACAAACCGGAGGAAGGUGGGGAUGACGUCAAGUCAUCAUGCCCCUUAUGACCUGGGCUACACACGUGCUACAAUGGACGGUACAACGAGAAGCGAACCUGCGAAGGCAAGCGGAUCUCUUAAAGCUGUUCUCAGUUCGGACUGUAGGCUGCAACUCGCCUACACGAAGCUGGAAUCGCUAGUAAUCGCGGAUCAGCACGCCGCGGUGAAUACGUUCCCGGGCCUUGCACACACCGCCCGUCA